UAGGUUAAGGUUUUAGGUCAUAGGUUUUGGUUUAAGUUAAGGUUAUAGGUUUAGGUUUAGGUUUUAGGUCAUAGGUUUUGGUUUAGGUUAAGGUUAUAGGUUUUGGUUUAGGUUUUAGGUCAUAGGUUUUGGUUUAGGUUAAGGUUAUAGGUAUAGGUUAAGGUUUAGGUUUAGGUUUAGGUUUAGGUU